GGAUCUUACCUGAUGGGGAGUCCGGCUCGCAGAGUUAUACGCUCACCCUUGCAAAGUAGACACAGACCAGGGUGACCAGGUAAGACACCACCUGAUCUGUGAGUCUGUGCACGGGGGCUUUCCAGGAAUAGUGCUCCAAGUAGCAGUACAGCAGGGAUUAGCAGAAGCGUAGUCAAGGAAAGCCAAAGUCAGGGGAAGCCAGAUAUCAGAGUAGUCCAGGAGGAAAGCCAAGGUCAGAAGCCGGAAUCAGAAAGGAAAUACUGGAACACAG
rnacentral:lncRNA from 1 species